AGUGAACGCUGGCGGUAGGCCUAACACAUGCAAGUCGAACGGCAGCACAGUAAGAGCUUGCUCUUACGGGUGGCGAGUGGCGGACGGGUGAGGAAUACAUCUGAAUCUACUUUUUCGUGGGGGAUAACGUAGGGAAACUUACGCUAAUACCGCAUACGACCUACGGUUGAAAGCAGGGAAUCUUCGGACCUUGCGCGAUUGAAUGAGCCGAUGUCGGAUUAGCUAGUUGGCGGGGUAAAGGCCCACCAAGGCGACGAUCCGUAGCUGGUCUGAGAGGAUGAUCAGACACACUGGAACUGAGACACGGUCCAGAAUCCUACGGGAGGCAGCAGUGGGGAAUAGUGGACAAUGGGCGCAAGCCUGAUCAAGCCAUACCGCGUGGGUGAAGAAGGCCGUCGGGUUGUAAAGCCCUUUUGUUGGGAAAGAAAAGCAGCAGGUUAAUACCCCGCUGUUCUGACGGUACCCAAAGAAUAAGCACCGGCUAACUUAGUG
rnacentral:rRNA from 1 species